rnacentral:rRNA from 1 species
UACGGAAGGCAGCAGUGGGGAAUAUUGCACAAUGGGCGCAAGCCUGAUGCAGCCAUGCCGCGUGUAUGAAAAAGGCCUUCGGGUUGUAAAGUACUUUCAGUCGUGAGGAAGGUGUUAAGGUUAAUAACCUUAGCAAUUGACGUUAGCGACAGAAGAAGCACCGGCUAACUCCGUGCCAGCAGCCGCGGUAAUACGGAGGGUGCGAGCGUUAAUCGGAAUUACUGGGCGUAAAGGGCACGCAGGCGGUUAAUUAAGUUGGAUGUGAAAUCCCCGGGCUUAACCUGGGAAUGGCAUUCAAGACUGGUUAGCUAGAGUCUUGUAGAGGAGGGUAGAAUUCCAUGUGUAGCGGUGAAAUGCGUAGAGAUGUGGAGGAAUACCGGUGGCGAAGGCGGCCCCUGGACAAAGGACUGACGCUCAUGUGCGAAAGCGUGGGGAGCAAAC